rnacentral:rRNA from 1 species
GACGAACGCUGGCGGCGUGCCUAACACAUGCAAGUCGAGCGGAGAUAUAUGGAAGGUUUACCGGAAAUAUAUCUUAGCGGCGGACGGGUGAGUAACGCGUGGGCAACCUGCCUCAUACAGGGGGAUAACACAGGGAAACUUGUGCUAAUACCGCAUGAAAUCAUAGUAUGGCAUCAUACAAUGAUCAAAGGAGCAAUCCGGUAUGAGAUGGGCCCGGUCCGAUUAGCUAGUUGGUGAGGUAACGGCUCACCAAGGCGACGAUCGGUAGCCGAACUGAGAGGUUGAUCGGCCACAUUGGGACUGAGACACGGCCCAGACUCCUACGGGAGGCAGCAGUGGGGAAUAUUGCGCAAUGGGGGAACCCUGACGCAGCAACGCCGCGUGGAGGAAGAAGGUCUUCGGAUUGUAAACUCCUGUCUUCUGGGACGAAUAAGUGACGGUACCGAGAGGAGGAAGCGACGGCGUAACUAACGUGCCAGCAGCCGCGGU